GAUGAAGAACGUAGCGAAAUGCGAUACGUAAUGUGAAUUGCAGAAUUCAGUGAAUCAUCGAGUCUUUGAACGCACAUUGCGCCCCCUGGUAUUCCGGGGGGCAUGCCUGUCCGAGCGUCAUUGCUGCCCUCAAGCCCGGCUUGUGUGUUGGGCCCUGCUCCCCCGGGGGCAGGCCCGAAAGGCAGUGGCGGCACCGCGUCCGAUCCUCGAGCGUAUGGGGCUUUGUCACCCGCUCUGUAGGCCCGGCCGGCGCUUGCCGACCCCCAUCAAUCUUUUUUCAGGUUGACCUCGGAUCAGGUAGGGAUACCCGCUGAACUUAAGCAUAUCAAUAAGCGGAGGA
rnacentral:misc_RNA from 1 species